GACGAACGCUGGCGGCGUGCUUAACACAUGCAAGUCGAACGGAAAGGCCCUGCUUUUGUGGGGUGCUCGAGUGGCGAACGGGUGAGUAACACGUGAGUAACCUGCCCUUGACGUUGGGAUAACUUCAGGAAACUGGGGCUAAUACCGGAUAGGAGCUCCUGCUGCAUGGUGGGGGUUGGAAAGUUUCGGCGGUUGGGGAUGGACUCGCGGCUUAUCAGCUUGUUGGUGGGGUAGUGGCUUACAAAGGCUUUGACGGGUAGCCGGCCUGAGAGGGUGACCGGCCACAUUGGGACUGAGAUACGGCCCAGACUCCUACGGGAGGCAGCAGUGGGGAAUAUUGCACAAUGGGCGGAAGCCUGAUGCAGCAACGCCGCGUGCGGGAUGACGGCCUUCGGGUUGUAAACCGCUUUCGCCUGUGACGAAGCGUGAGUGACGGUAAUUGGUAAAGAAGCACCGGCUAACUACGU
rnacentral:rRNA from 1 species